CAGAAUGGUCCACCUGACAAAGACAAAAUAUGCUCCAAUUACAGACUGGGAGCAGAGUGGCUGGAAAGCUGCCCAGCAGAAAAGUCCCUUGGGGUGCUGGGUGACAGCUGGUUGAACAUGAGCCAGUGUGUGCCCAGGUGGCCAAGAAGACCACUGGCAUCCUGGCCUGCAUUAGGAAUUGUGGGGCCAGUAGGACCAGGACAGUGAUCAUAGACCAUACAUGGCACUGGUGAGACUGCACCUUAAAUACAGGGUCCAUUUGUGGGCCACUCAAUUCAGGAAGGUGCUGGAGUGGGUACAGAGCAGGAUAAUGAAGCUGGUGAAGGGUCCGUAGAGAAUGUCCUCUGAGGAGUAGCUGAGGGAGCUGGGGUUGUUUAGCCUGGAGAAAAGGAGGCUCAGGGGAGACCUUAUCACUCUCUACAGCUGCCUGAAAGGAGGCUGUAGCCAGCUGGGAAUUGGUCUCUUCUUCCAGGCAACCAGUGCCAGGAUGAGAGGACACAGUCCCAAGCUGUCGUAGGGGAGGCAUAGGUUGGACUUUAGAAAGAAAUUCUUCACUGUCCCUGGAGGUGUGUAAGGAAACGCUGGCACUUGGUGUAAACAUGGUGGUGUCCAGUCAUAGGUUAGACUUGAUGAUCUCAGAGGUCUCUUCCAACUGAGUUGAUUCUGCGAUUCUGUAAAACCCUGUGACCAAGGAAGGGUGAUUCAAACUAUGAUGAGCACUGAUCAAAGUCAAAGAGGCUUCAAAGCAGUGACAGUGGAAAAUCUGGUGGUCUUUCAAACUGUCCUUCUGAAGAAAUAAGAGCAAGGAAGCUGGGCAAAUUCUUUGUCAUAGAGAUGGGGAAUAUUUACCCAAAGCUGUUGGUUUGUUUGGGGUUUUUUAGCUGAUGUGAAUGAGAUGUUUAGACUUCACCAGGAGAGUGACUCUGCUGCCUUGCAGAGCAUGCACCUGAGAGUGUUAGAGCAAGGCACUGUCCAGAGAUCUGUUGCCAGCAACUUCCUGCCUGGAAUUGGUUUUCUUACAGAAUGAACUGCAGUGGCAAUUGAUUUUUAGAGGUAAGAGAUAGUCCUGGGUGGUAAAGUGCACCAGUGAUGUUUGGCCAAGAAAGGAAAAAGGAGGGAGCAGCUGUGAAGAAGCAGAGAUGGAUUGACUGAUGGGCUUGCUGAGUGAGCAGCAGGCAUUGCUCUGGAAUGAACCAAAUGCUUGCCCACGCUGCUGAUCGAUCCCUGCAGCAGAGGCAGUGAUCAACAACAGUCAGGAGGGACAGGUGGAAAUUGCUGCCAACAUUUAAACACAUCAGUCAUGAUUCUUAUAUAAAUAAGACAGGCAGGUGUUGAACUGUGUUCAUACUGCUGUGAGCAGUAUCCAGAUGGGGAUUUGGGGUUUUGGUUCCAAUUACAACUCGGUGCUAAUCAUCAAAUUAGAUAGUGGGAGCAGUAACUCUUGGAGAAAUGCAGAGACUUUGCUGCCUGCAUCCAGUUGGAGCUAUCUGAAUUCCAGUUUUCCCGCCUGCUUUUGUUCUGAUUAAAUAAGACAGUUAUGUAUCAGAAAUGUGCUUUGACACCAACAGUGUCUUCAGAAAAGCAAUUAUCUGUUUGGACAUUUCAACACUUAGUAUUUCAAAUAAGCUUAUAAAUAGAGAAACAUAUAGGCUGGUGAUAACCUGCUUUAAUUACAGGAGAAAUUAUGCUUCAGAUGGUAUAAAUGGUUCAUUUAUGAAUUUUUCUGCUGAUGUGUGUCUCCUGGGAAUGAUUGCUUGAACUGUCAGGGGAGCUACAGACCUUCUGUUUGUGUCUUUUGUGGUGAAUUAUUGAAAUGCUGCUAAUUUCUGCUGGGUUUUUUGUGGGUAUGCUUUCUAAACAUAAAUAAUCACAACUUGAUGUUAUAUCAAUCUCACCUGGAAUAUAUCAAAUUACUGAAGCAAUAACUUUAUAUAAAUAGGUAUGAUCACUCAAAGAAAAAGGUGGAAAUAAAACCAGCCAAUAAGUUUAUGCAUCAGUAAAUCAGAUGUGAAGUACAGGUAAAUAUUUCAACUGGCACUCUCAAGUGAUGAGCAUGAGGAGUGUCUCUUCCAGGGAAGCAGCGGACUAAGUUCAGGGACAUAAAAGUUGUUUAAUAAAUAAAUAAAUAAUCUGGAAUUAUAGUAA